ACGGUACCGUAAGAAUAAGCACCGGCUAACUACGUGCCAGCAGCCGCGGUAAUACGUAGGGUGCAAGCGUUAAUCGGAAUUACUGGGCGUAAAGCGUGCGCAGGCGGUUAUGUAAGACAGAGGUGAAAUCCCCGGGCUCAACCUGGGAACUGCCUUUGUGACUGCAUAGCUGGAGUGCGGCAGAGGGGGAUGGAAUUCCGCGUGUAGCAGUGAAAUGCGUAGAUAUGCGGAGGAACACCGAUGGCGAAGGCAAUCCCCUGGGCCUGCACUGACGCUCAUGCACGAAAGCGUGGGGAGCAAACAGGAUUAGAUACCCUGGUAGUCCACGCCCUAAACGAUGUCAACUGGUUGUUGGGUCUUCACCGACUCAGUAACGAAGCUAACGCGUGAAGUUGACCGCCUGGGGAGUACGGCCGCAAGGUUAAAACUCAAAGGAAUUGACGGGGACCCGCACAAGCGGUGGAUGACGUGGUUUAAUUCGAUGCAACGCGAAAAACCUUACCCACCUUUGACAUGUACGGAAUCCUUUAGAGAUAGAGGAGUGCUCGAAAG
rnacentral:rRNA from 1 species